CUCAACAAGGCUCUGAAAACUGCCCUCGCUGCGCCCCAGCGGCCGGGAGGGGGCGCCCGAACUCGCCAUAACGCACUAACGACAGCGCCCACCCCGCGCGACCCGCCUCCAGUGACGCGAACUGGAGCGCCUGAUCAACCCGGAGAUCCCGGGAGCCCGGGCGAGGCGCCGCCGGGGCUUAGGGAGCGCGUGGGGCCGUGGGAACCGAUCAAAGUUUUCAUCAAGUUCUUCUGUAUGUAUUGAGACUGAAAAGUGACCGAAACUUUUCAUUAUAAAAGCUUCAGUAUCUCAGCCAUCAUGCCACUCUGCCCUUCAGUGGUGUUAACCCAGAUCAUAUGGAUGGAGAGGGAUGUGGAAAGUCUUUAGAAUCUUUGGUCACCUAGGCUUCAGUGGGUUGAGUAGUGUGUGUCCAAGGGACAUCAUGACUUGUCCUCAAAAAAUACAUGCACUUCUAAGAAGAUAUGACAGUCUGCAUUGAUAUGAGCUGCCAGGUCAUUAUUCUAGGAAUACUGUGGUAUCUCAAAGAAUCCAGAGAGAAACUGUUUCCUUGGAAGUGCUUUUUCACAACCAUUCUGGAAUUUUCCCAGUGAAGAAUUCCUCCAUGCUGGUCUCAUUCCAACCAACCUCUUCUGCUGAACAGUUUGAAGAUUUGCUGAAGCCUCUGAUGGAACAUAGCAGUGACCUGAGCCUUUUGGACCUUGCUGCCAUCUGCCAAUAACAACAGAAGACCAUUGGAACCAGCUGAAUGUCCAUCUUUAGGGGACUAAUCAAAUAAUGUAGGACUCAUCCAUUCAGUAGGAAACAAUACAGCUAUUUAAAAAGAUAAAGAAGUUCUCUAUAAAUGACUAAGAUCUCCAGGUUAAAAAAGAUAGGUGCAGAACAGUGAGUAUAGUAUGUUAUCUUCUAUAUAAAAACAAGGGAGAGUGUAAUAAAAGAAUAUAUCUAUAUUUUCA
rnacentral:lncRNA from 1 species